AAGCGGGAAGAGAAAAAGAUUAGACUUUUUCUUUUCACCAAUUAAUCAUUUCGACCGUUUAAUUAACGUUUAUUUUAAUUAUUUUCUUAAUUUAUCACAGUGGCUAAUUCGUCGGACGAUUACUAAUAACAAGAAGCGAAACAAUUAAAUGGGUGAUCAAUUUUGUUUCUUCUUCUCUUCGGUUAAUCAUAACCGUUUGUGUCUCCAUUUUGUUUUUGUUUCUUUUCCAUGAUUUCAUGUAAGUAGAUCAUUUAUUUUCUCUUGAUUUCAUUUGAUUCUAUUUUUUAUUCUUUUCUUAUUUUCGCUUUGAUUGUUGGAGUAUAUUCACUGAUUAGACUGAUAUCCCAAUUCUCUGGUCAUUCUUUAGCUUUUAAUUAAGAUGGACAAUCAAUAUGGAUAGAAAAUUGUAACAGAUGAGCUUGUGAUAAUCUCUUCCUCCUCCUCCUCUCUCUCUCAUGGAUGAUAAAUGGUAACCCAAUGGUGGAUUUUGAUACAAAUCGCUGGUGAGAAAAAAAUUUCCUCAUAUUGACUAACUCUCUUGGACUCAUUGUUUUCCCUCCAUCUGAUUUGUGUCUCCAGUUAUUCCUGAGUAUUUUUUUUUGUUGUUCUUAAGAAAAGAACAAUGUUCCAUCGUCAUUUUCAUCUCAUCAUCUUUUUCCAUCAUCAAGAUAAUCAAUAGAUUUAUGAACAUUUGGAAUCAACCAACAGCCCAGAAAAAUAUAAAGAGAGAUAACAUUCAGAUUUAAUGUUACUUAUGCAAAAUAUACUAUGGAAAUUUGAAAUUCUCUCACACAUCAUGAAGAUAUAAAAAGAAUCAUCAUUAUCACCAUGGAAAAGCCAAAGGCCUGAAACUCAACUCUUUCCAAAAGUGAAAGUAUCAAAGAUAAAAAAUAAGAGAAGAAGCAAAAAUGAUUCCAAACAUACUUCAUUUCUAAUUUGAUUGUUUUCUGCUCUUUUUCCACCAAACCUCUAAAAUACUUUUCCAUGGAACAACCCAAGGAAUAGGAAGACAUUGGGAAAGAAAAAUCAUCAUGAGUAAUAUAAAAGGUUGGAAAAUAGUAAUGGUUUCAACAAAGAAAAAAAAAUUCUGUAUCUAAACCAUUGCACCUCAUCUAUUUUCAAUGAUGAGUCCCUUCAGAAUUUUUCUUCACAUCAUCAUACACAAAGUGGAUAGACAUUGUGGAAAAUAGUUCAUUGUGUUACCCUCUCCCCCCUCUCUCUCUCUCUCACUUAUCCCACCACACAGAAAUAAGGAGGAACAACUUAAAAAAGGUUAAUCAAGAUGAUAAACAUCAAUGAGAAGCAGAUGCAAUCCCAAUGUGUUUCCCUUUAAGGAUGUUGAAGCCACGAGAAAAGAUGGAGAUAAAGAUGAAGAAGAAAAAAAGUAAGAGGCUACACAUUUAGCUCAUCAAUAAGAGUUUUUUUUCGCUUGGUAUCAAAUAAGUGAACAUGAUGUUGUGACAAGGAUUUAUUAAUUUACUAAUUGUUAAAAGUGACUAAUGACAAUUUGUUGUUGGCCAACAAGAACUGACAUAAAUUACUACAUGAAAAAAAAAGAGGGACCAUAGACUUUAAAUCUGCUUCACUUCUGAACGAUAAUGAUGAUAAACAAGAGGCUAACCAAUGAUUAUGAUGAUAAUGAUGAUGAUGAGAUUUAACAUGAAUGAACAACGUUGGACUCAAGGGCCUACUCAUUGAACAGCUAAUGGUUAAGCUUAUCAAGGAUGGCAAAAAAUGCUAAGGACGGGCCAAUGAAGUUGAUGAUAAUAAUAUUUUGUGACUAAUUAGUACUCCAAACUAAUUAACGUGCAUAACAACAUCACAAAGUUUACUAUUUGAUCACAGGGAAAAAAAGGAAUCAUGGAUUUCAAGAUCUCGUUUCUCAUGCAAGAAAAGAGGAGGAUAUUAAGCUCAUCUACACCAUGAUGAUGAUGAUGAAGAUGAUGAUCACCACCAACAAGGCAAAAGCGGAGGAGUAGGAGGGAAAGAGGAGGAUGAGCAAAUAUUAUUAAUAAUAAUGAUGAUUAUCAUCAUCAUAAUAAUGAGGAGUAACUAUUAGAGGAUGGAGAUGAAGAUGAACAACAACAACAACGAAAAUGAGGGAAAAGAAAUUUAAAAAAUGUAUCAUUACCUUAUCUAUCUGUUAUUUCAUCAUCAUAAAACUCAGAUCACAUCUUUAACAAUCAUCUUGAUCAUCAUCAUCAUCAUUCUCAUCAUCAUCUUAUGAGAGAAAGUACAGUAAAGGGAUUUUGUAUUGGUCCAAUGAAUUUAACAAUGACAAUCAAGGAUAAAGAAUCUUGUUGAGCUUUAAAUUACAAUCAACUAAUUAUAAUACUACAUAAACAAUUUGGAAAGAGAGAGAGAGAGGAAAAAAAGUCUCAAGACAAUGUUGAUUUCCCUGGAUAAGGAUUGAAGAUUCAAGAAAUUGGUUAAGAAUCAAGUUUUAUCUCUCAUGUUUGUUCAACCAAAUCAACAACAAUUUCACGGACCAACUGUUAACAUGAUGAUGACCUGAGUUUUCAAUAUUCCAAUUGCAGUAAUACAAUAACAGUGCAACAAUUUAAUAACAUCAUCAAGAGGUAAAGAGAGAGUAAGAUGAACAAAAUUUUUCAACUCUCGAAUUGGUUUCAUGGACUUUCAGGUUUACAAUUAAAGUAACAAGAUACAGAUCAAUUAUACGAAUUACUAAAUCACUUUGAUGGUCUAAUUCAGGUAAAAUUAAUAUCUGAAUCACAGAAUUGAUUCUAACAUCAAGAUUUAAAGAUUGAUACAAAUUCAGAAGCAAAGUUCUGGAAAGAGAGAAAUUAUCUCCUCUGAACAAAUUGAUCGAUUUUUUUUCUCACCACUGAACGGAAAUGCUAACAAAGUGUUACCUUGAAAAUUUGAACUGAAUUUACUCCCGAUGAAGAUGAAGAUGAUAUUUUGGUCUUCAACAGUUUAUCAUCUUGAUCCUUAUCAUCAUUAUCAUCAUUAUCAUCAUCAUGUUUACCUGUAAAGUCAAUAUUGUUUCAAGGUUGACCAUUAUGAUUUAUAUUUACUUUUACCUUGGAUGUUGAUUGUUUAUUGGAAAAUCAAUUUGAAUCAAUUAUCAUUAUGCUAAUCAAUUUGGUCGUUUCUUAUUUAAUUGUUAAUAUUAUCUAAUUAUUAUGAUAAUUUAAUGAUUAUUAUUAAUAUUCCAGUGUGAUGAUUAGUGAAGUUAAUUGUUGCUGUAAUAUUUACAUAAUUACGAUGGUGACGAUGUAAUUUUAAUCGGUUAUUUAAUCAAAUUUGGUUAAUCAAUCAAGAAGCAUAAACAACAUUAGAUGAUGAUUAUGUUAAUUAAAUGGACUUUAAGGUUUUUACAAACACACAAUUAAUUUAAAUUGUUUACAAUUUAACAAGAAACUUAUCCCAGCAAUCAACCAAAUCGGAAAAUCAACAACGCUAAUCAAUUGAGAAAGUUAAAUUGUUAUCAUUGUGAAUUUGGUAAUAAUAAUUGAAGGAUUGGCUUUGAUCAUUAAUAAGACUUAAUAAUUAACUAAUGAUACAGAAUCAUUAAAUUGUAUAUAAUUUAUAAAUUAAUGUUUCAUUUUUAAAAUUAAUCAUCAGUGAUGACAAGAUAAACUUGUCAUCGUAAUUAUAAUUAUCAUUAUGAUUGUGAUCACUAAUCAUAUUUGAAAUUAAGCCUUUUUUUACACAAUGAUAAUAAUCAUGGAAUCACAAUUAACUUAUUAACCAUUGGGAAGAUCAUAAUGAAAAACGAAACCAAACUGACAACAAUUAACCCCGUUGAUUAAUGUAACCACGAGGACAAUCAAUUGAUUUCAACAUGUAAGCAGUUAACAUUUCUCAGGAUGUAAUUUAAUUCCCCAAUAAUCAAGCCAAUAAUUGACAAUGAUUAGAGUUGAUAACAAGAUGGAUUCCAAUGGGUUUACCAUUGAUUAUUUAACAACUUCAUCAAUCUUAUAUUUUUUAUCUUCACCUUAUCUUCUUGCUGGUUGAUACUUUUCCAUCUUCCUAAUCAAUAUAAUGAUAAUCAUCAUCAUCUUUAUCAUCAUUAUUAUCUUCAUCCGUCAGAAAGUCACAUCAUCUCUUUUCACGAUCUUGUUUCUUUUUUUCUGGUCAAUUUAAGAAUCUAAAGCAAAACUGUUUCUCUUUCUCUCUCUCAUUCUGUCCCUUGUGAUGUCCAAUUAGUGGACAGAAGAAGAUAAAGAUGAUGAUGAUGAUGAAAAUUUCUGUAAUGAUGAUAAUCUUAAAGAGGAAAAAGAAGAUGAAAGAUGGAAGAUGAAGGAUACGAAAGAACCUGAGAAUGAGAGUUGAUAGUGAAUAAGGUGAAGAUUAAAAUUAUCUUUGAUUCGAUAUCAAUGUUAUAUGAAAUGUUUUCCAGAUUCUUGCAUUUGAUAUUUGAGAUGAACAAUUUUCAUAAAUAUGACUCAAUUUGAGAUGAUUUAAUGAUCUGAAUUAUCAUGAUAAUCAUCAUGCUGAUUAUUUCCAUCAAUUUACAAAGUAAGAUGAUCAGCCAUUAGAAAGUAAAAGUCAACACUAACAAGGAUGAGGAUAAACUGAUGCUGAUGAUGAUUUUUGACCACCGUUGGAAAUGUUCAUUGUAUUGAGACGGUAAAUAAAUAUUGAUGAUGAACUGGAUUUGUGAAUCGAGCUGAAUUGCCCGAGGGUGGAUAAAGUGUAAACCAGAAAUCCUUGGAAAAAGAAAACAAGAAAGGACAAAAAGACAUAGAAAAUGACAGAUUGAAAUGCAAGAGAUUGAAAGAGAAGAUGAUUUAACUUUUCUCUCUCUCUCUCUCUUUAAAUGCCUCGGAUGUUAAUUUAAGGAUAAAGUUUCAAAAUAUCAUCUCUCCAUCAUCUUACUCUCAAUGUCAACAAGAUGAAACACUUAAAUGAGUAAACUUUACAGAGAGAGGGAACUGACAUACCGCCGGGGUUAUCGGAUAGUGUAAAAAAAUGGAUUCAGUAAUUGAGGAGGGUGAUGGUUACCGAGACGAGAAUCAGUAAAAAGGUAGCAACAGGAUCAUCAACAGAAGCAACUUCUCAACUUGUUCAACAUCAUCUUCAUCUUCAUCAUCAUUAUCAUCUGCUAGAUGAAAGUAAAUAUUAAACAUGAUGAUCAACAGCAAACCCCAAAAAUGAUAUACGAUAUCGUAGGAGGAGGAUGAGGAUGAGGAGAGAGGAGGUGAAAUACAUUUUACUUGUUAACCCGAUGACAUUUUUCCUCCUCCUGUUUUUUGUGUACAUUUAGCUGAUUACAUAGUUAUCUUCAUCUUCAUCAUCAUCAUUUUACAUAUAUUAAGACAAACAACAACAACAACAACAACAACGACAUCAACCAAGGUGAAAUCUCAAUACAAAAGGUAAAAGAAAACAAAAUCUACUUUAACCUUAAAAUUGCCGAGAGCAGAUUUAGUUUUAUCCUAACAAUCACAUUGCAUUUACCUGGAAAAUAAAACAUUACCUGGAUUUUACCUUUUCUGCUCUGGCUACUCAACUAAUAACAAUGGCGGUGAUGGUGGUGAGGGUAAGGAUGAAGGUGGUGG